rnacentral:rRNA from 1 species
GACGAACGCUGGCGGCGUGCUUAACACAUGCAAGUCGAACGAAGAGCGAUGGAAGCUUGCUUCUAUCAAUCUUAGUGGCGAACGGGUGAGUAACGCGUAAUCAACCUGCCCUUCAGAGGGGGACAACAGUUGGAAACGACUGCUAAUACCGCAUACGAUCUGACCUCGGCAUCGAGGAUAGAUGAAAGGUGGCCUCUACAUGUAAGCUAUCACUGAAGGAGGGGAUUGCGUCUGAUUAGCUAGUUGGAGGGGUAACGGCCCACCAAGGCGAUGAUCAGUAGCCGGUCUGAGAGGAUGAACGGCCACAUUGGGACUGAGACACGGCCCAGACUCCUACGGGAGGCAGCAGUGGGGAAUCUUCCGCAAUGGACGAAAGUCUGACGGAGCAACGCCGCGUGAGUGAUGACGGCCGUCGGGUUGUAAAGCUCUGUUAAUCGGGACGAAAGGCCUUUUUGCGAAUAGUGAGAAGGAUUGACAGUACCGGAAUAGAAAGCCACGGCUAACUACGUG